AUGCACGCUGGCGGCGUGCCUAAUACAUGCAAGUCGAGCGAACAGACGAGGAGCUUGCUCCUCUGACGUUAGCGGCGGACGGGUGAGUAACACGUGGAUAACCUACCUAUAAGACUGGGAUAACUUCGGGAAACCGGAGCUAAUACCGGAUAAUAUAUUGAACCGCAUGGUUCAAUAGUGAAAGACGGUUUUGCUGUCACUUAUAGAUGGAUCCGCGCCGCAUUAGCUAGUUGGUAAGGUAACGGCUUACCAAGGCAACGAUGCGUAGCCGACCUGAGAGGGUGAUCGGCCACACUGGAACUGAGACACGGUCCAGCCUCCUACGGGAGGCAGCAGUAGGGAAUCUUCCGCAAUGGGCGAAAGCCUGACGGAGCAACGCCGCGUGAGUGAUGAAGGUCUUCGGAUCGUAAAACUCUGUUAUUAGGGAAGAACAAAUGUGUAAGUAACUAUGCACGUCUUGACGGUACCUAAUCAGAAAGCCACGGCUAACUACGUG
rnacentral:rRNA from 1 species